rnacentral:rRNA from 1 species
CAGUCGCCGCGGGAAUACAGAGGGUGCGAGCGUUAAUCGUAUUUACUGGGCGUAAAGCGUGCGUAGGCGGCUUUUUAAGUCGGAUGUGAAAUCCCUGAGCUUAACUUAGGAAUUGCAUUCGAUACUGGGAAGCUAGAGUAUGGGAGAGGAUGGUAGAAUUCCAGGUGUAGCGGUGAAAUGCGUAGAGAUCUGGAGGAAUACCGAUGGCGAAGGCAGCCAUCUGGCCUAAUACUGACGCUGAGGUACGAAAGCAUGGGGAGCAAACAGGAUUAGAGACCCGUGUAGUCCCUGUCUCUUAUAC